GCGGAAGGGCAGAGGUGCUGGAGAGAGGCCCCAGGCCCCUCCGCCACCGAGGAAGCAAAGAACCCCGUGAACCAAGUCGCCACUCGAGAUUUUACCCAGUGAGAACAUGUUUAGGACACUUUUCUACAGUGGAAGAAAAGCUUCUGUCUGCAGGUCCAAAGGCACCGUCCUGAGUUGGAAAAAGAUGAAUCAGACCCAGUCCCUCCCUGGAGUUGCUCAGAGGUCUGGAGGAGAAAGGCAUAGAGGUACGAUGUCUUCGUAUGCUCACCGUGCCCCAAAUUCGGUUUUCACUUGCAUCCGAGGGUACUGUCUGAGAGAAGGGCAAAAGCCA
rnacentral:lncRNA from 1 species